GGCCUACCNUGGUGGUAACGGGUAACGGGGUGUUAGGGCACGACACCGGAGAGGGAGCCUGAGAAACGGCUACCACAUCCAAGGAUGGCAGCAGGCGCGCAAAUUACCCAGUCCCGACACGGGGAGGUAGUGACAAUAAAUAACAAUACGGGGUUCUUUCGGAUCUCGUAAUUGGAAUGAGUACAAUUUAAAUCUCUUAACGAGGAACAAUUGGAGGGCAAGUCUGGUGCCAGCAGCCGCGGUAAUUCCAGCUCCAAUAGCGUAUAUUAAAGUUGUUGCAGUUAAAAAGCUCGUAGUUGAAUUUCGGGAUCAGUAGGUUGGUCGUGCCACUGGUAUGCACUGGCCUUACUGAUUCCUCCUUCUUGUAGAACCGUAAUGCCAUUAAGUUGGUGUUGCGGGGAAACAGGACUGUUACUUUGAAAAAAUUAGAGUGUUUAAAGCAGGCUAACGCUUGAAUACAUUAGCAUGGAAUAAUGAAAUAGGACGUUCGAUCCUAUUUUGUUGGUUUCUAGGAUUGACGUAAUGAUUAAUAGGGAUAGUUGGGGGCAUUAGUAUUCAAUUGUCAGAGGUGAAAUUCUUGGAUUUAUUGAAGACUAACUACUGCGAAAGCAUUUGCCAAGGAUGUUUUCAUUAAUCAAGAACGAAAGUUAGGGGAUCGAAGACGAUCAGAUACCGUCGUAGUCUUAACCAUAAACUAUGCCGACUAGGGAUCGGAUGAUGUUAAUUUUUUAAUGACUCAUUCGGCGCCUUACGGGAAACCAAAGUGUUUGGGUUC
rnacentral:rRNA from 1 species